GUUGUAGGGAAGUAGUCUGUAGUUAUUCCCUAGGAGAAGGGAGGUGUGUUUUAGGCUAUGGUGUCUGUAGUUAAUCCCUGGGAGGAGGGAGUUUGAGCUAUUAUACCCAGGGAACUAGAAGCUGUACAAAGGAGUCUGGGGAAGGAGUUGCCAGGUAUAGGGUCCCUGGGCUGAAACCUAGAGUAAUGAGUACUGUCUACUAAGAAAGUGGCACUGUCAGGGUAGUGCUGGAGAUGACUACCUGAGAACAUUCAUGUAGAAGGACUUUGGGGCCCCCAGAAGGGGAAACCACAUAAUGACCCAGCUGGAGGUCCAAGACACGAAGAGGAGACUGUAGUUCCUGGAAUGAGAGAGGGGGCCACAGGAAAAGAGAGAGUGAUAGAGUGCAACUGCUGGAAGGGGCAUCAACCUGGCAGAGCUAAUCUCCAGAACCGCCAGGAGGCAGUGCUGUCCAGGGGUCAGUAGAGCUCCUCUGUCACAGGGAUAAUAAUGGAUACAUAUCUCACAGGGAUGCUGUGACAAUUAAUUAAUAUCUUUCAGGUGCUAAAAUUCACUAGACUGCACCAUAAUCUAGAGCUCCCCCAACCUCUCCUUUAUUUGAGCUAUAAUACAUUGUAAAACUUACUAAAGUGUUGGCAACUGUACAAGGGCUUUGGGUUGAAAUUGCUAGAAUUUUUAGUACCAACUGAAGGGUCAGGUUCUCUAUUGCUCUACACCAUAUGAGAUCAUUUGCAUCCAAGCCGAGUGGGUGUCAAAUGCUAGAGAGUCAGAAUUUUAAUGUUUUAUAUCCACUCUAAAUUCUUUGCAUGGGUGUAAAUGCCGCACAAGGGGCACAGGGCAAGAGCGAAAUGAGACCUAAAAUUGCAUUUAGUCUGAUUCCUCGUGAUGUGAAUUUGGGCAGCUGAAGAUAUUAAGGGAGGGCAGAUGACUGAAUGACAAGGACUGAGGACAAGCACCAUUUGCUGGUAAAUGGCCUCCAAAAUUAACGUUCACCAGACCAGGAAGACCCUUAAACUCAGCCUUAGCUAUCUGAUAGCAAAGCAGCACAGGGAAUGGAUUCAUCCUCUGCAAAAGAAAACAACUGGCAGAAAGGAAGGAGCAGUGAAGAACAAUUUAGGAGAAAAUGCUACACAAGAGGUGAGCUUUGUCCUAAAGGAGGGGAGGAAGGACACCAGCCACUGAAAUCAGAAUUAAAAACAAGGGCCACAGUAAUUGUGAUACUUAGCUGGCAAUCAUUUAAUACUUCAGUGUCAUUAACAUUUACUAAAGGACCCUGCUUUCACACAGCAAAUACCGAGAAACCUGGUUUCUCUCCAAAAUAAACCAGACAGUUCAGUCCAACUCAAACAUGCUGGAUAGGUGUCCACGUCAGGAAAACUACCAUCACAACUGACAUUCUCAGCAGAGAGGUGAAGGACUGAUUGAAAAAUGUGAUAUCUUCUCUUCAUUCUGCAUGGCUUUUCCAGUGAAGGUUGAAGCACAUAAGUAAGCCUAGGAAGGGGAAGUUUGCACGGCUGUGCGUGUUUUUGUCAAUAAACAGAGGACUUUCAUUUCCAGCACUGAACAGUAAAUUUACUUUUCAAAAAUACUACCAUUUAGAAAUGUAACACAAGAUGGAAACAGUCACAAUGGCUAGAGAAAAAAAUUGAACUGAGGCUAGACUUUUCAUUUACCCAAAAAAAGGGGGAGGGAGGGUAGAAGUUUUCCAUAUUUCUUCAUCUACAUAGUCAAAGUCUGGGCUAUAUCAAAAUGUAUUAAAUAUGAAGUGGAUUGUUUUACUCAGCAGUGGUCCCUCACAGUUUCCAUUAUCCUUCACUAUAACAAGUAUUCUGAGGGUGUCUGAUAACUGAACGAUGCAAACUGUAAUUUGCAAUUUUUGUUAUGGUGUAAGGAGGUGGAUAUUUACUCAAGUUUUUUU